UACGAAGGGGGCUAGCGUUGUUCGGAAUUACUGGGCGUAAAGCGCGCGCAGGCGGUUUUCCAAGUCAGUGGUGAAAGCCCGGAGCUCAACUCCGGAACUGCCAUUGAAACUGGCGAACUUGAGUACGAGAGAGGUGAGUGGAAUUCCCAGUGUAGAGGUGAAAUUCGUAGAUAUUGAGAAGAACACCGGUGGCGAAGGCGGCUCACUGGCUCGUAACUGACGCUCAGGCGCGACAGCGUGGGGAUCAAACAGG
rnacentral:rRNA from 1 species